ACGUGGGGCGAGGGAAAGCGGAGUGGAGAUGGCACGCAGCGGGGGCCUCUGGAAACUGUUAAGGCCGGGGAGGUUCUUUGGAGGGAUGAUACUCCAUUGUUCUGCUCGUGUCAGAUGCAAAGUGAUCCGUUUGAAUUAGGCACAAGUAUUUAACUUAUUAAUGAAUCCUACAGUGAGAUGAGAAGGAGAAGCGCGUAACAAACUGUAAUUUAAAGUGUCAUUUAAGUCCCUAGUUCAGAUCUAGAGUCCACAUGCUUAACUGUCAGAGCCCCGGAGCGGCCCUAACGAGGCCGGCUGUGCUAACGAGGCAGCGACUUCCAGGUGCCGCGGGGCCGCGCACAGCUGCGCCUCGUCGGGAGCCCCGGGCGGGACCCGCCCCAAAGCCUCCCAAAGCCUCUUAAGCUCCGCCGGAGGCUGCUGAGAGCUACGGGGGAGUUCCUGCGGUUCUUCGUGGCAGAUGGAGCGGGAUCUAGCGCUUUGACUGGUCCUAGUGCUGCUGGGGUUCAGGAGCGGAAAGAGACUGGCAAGGUGUUGGAGUCUCUCUCUCUGUGAGAGAACAAGCAUAUAUUGAGCUCUGUCGAGGAGUGUAUGAAGAACUAGUGGAGCGCUUACAUGUGAGGCUCAAGAGACAGUUAAGUUUUCCAGUUAAGCUUUCUCUAACCUUGGUUCCUCUGUGUAUGGGAACUGCUGAAUCGUGGCCUGAACCUCUGAUCACCUGAAGCAAGCAAUGAGUCAGCUG